GUGAUUCAGGGUGCCACUCGACGGGAUCUACUUCCAUUCCCUGUUAUGAUUACGAGGAUUCUUCAAGCAAAUGGAGUAGAUACAUCUUGUGACAAGUAUGAUGUUGGCCUUGGGCCUAUUGACUCAGUGACUUGGGCUAAGUCGGUUAGCACUCUCAAGUCAUUCCAUCAGACCAAAGGGCCACCUCCUGAAGCAUCUAGCCCAGCACCUCCACCAAGAGCAG
rnacentral:lncRNA from 1 species